GGAAACGCAGGGGGCGACAUAAGCUCCUCACCAAACCCUAGCUUCCACAAAAUUGAUCAAUUGAAGGUCAUAAUCAAGUCCAAAUCGAUUUUCAAGCACAAGUUAAUGAUCACCUAGUUGAAGGGAUCAUAAGGCAAGGAAUCCGGAUAGUCACACGGACACGCCGGAGCGGAUACGCGUUUGAAAGGUGUGCACUAAAGGUACUAAUGGGGUCCUUCCGGAUGGUGAUCAAGCAUGUUACAAGAACCGAACACAAAUUUUGGAUGCUUCCGCGUUAACUUAAACUUGACUAGACAGUGUUUUGAUGUAAAUGAAUUGUAAUCAAUGUUUUAAACUAGUCGGUAGUUGACUAGUAGGUGUUACUUUAAAUUUUGCUUUUGUACUUAU